AAUUCAAUUUAGGGGUGCCUUACUUAACAGGCUGAGAUCAUACCCAUUGAACCUGCACAGGAUAAUGCCUGCGAAGGGAAGAGAUUUUAUCGUAUG
rnacentral:ncRNA from 2 species